GGGUUGUGAGGUUAAGCGACUAAGCGUACACGGUGGAUGCCCUGGCAGUCAGAGGCGAUGAAGGGCGUGCUAAUCUGCGAUAAGCGCCGGUAAGGUGAUAUGAACCGUUAUAACCGGCGAUACCCGAAUGGGGAAACCCAGUGUGACUCGUCACACUAUCAUUAACUGAAUCCAUAGGUUAAUGAGGCGAACCGGGGGAACUGAAACAUCUAAGUACCCCGAGGAAAAGAAAUCAACCGAGAUUCCCCCAGUAGCGGCGAGCGAACGGGGAGGAGCCCAGAGCCUGAAUCAGCAUGUGUGUUAGUGGAAGCGUCUGGAAAGGCGCGCGAUACAGGGUGACAGCCCCGUACACAAAAGCGCAUGUGCUGUGAGCUCGAUGAGUAGGGCGGGACACGUGGUAUCCUGUCUGAAUAUGGGGGGACCAUCCUCCAAGGCUAAAUACUCCUGACUGACCGAUAGUGAACCAGUACCGUGAGGGAAAGGCGAAAAGAACCCCGGCGAGGGGAGUGAAAAAGAACCUGAAACCGUGUACGUACAAGCAGUGGGAGCACCCUUUGGGUGUGACUGCGUACCUUUUGUAUAAUGGGUCAGCGACUUAUAUUCUGUAGCAAGGUUAACCGAAUAGGGGAGCCGGAGGGAAACCGAGUCUUAACCGGGCGUUAAGUUGCAGGGUAUAGACCCGAAACCCGGUGAUCUAGCCAUGGGCAGGUUGAAGGUUGGGUAACACUAACUGGAGGACCGAACCGACUAAUGUUGAAAAAUUAGCGGAUGACCUGUGGCUGGGGGUGAAAGGCCAAUCAAACCGGGAGAUAGCUGGUUCUCCCCGAAAGCUAUUUAGGUAGCGCCUCGUGAAUUCAUCUCCGGGGGUAGAGCACUGUUUCGGCUAGGGGGCCAUCCCGGCUUACCAACCCGAUGCAAACUGCGAAUACCGGAGAAUGUUAUCACGGGAGACACACGGCGGGUGCUAACGUCCGUCGUGAAGAGGGAAACAACCCAGACCGCCAGCUAAGGUCCCAAAGUCAUGGUUAAGUGGGAAACGAUGUGGGAAGGCCCAGACAGCCAGGAUGUUGGCUUAGAAGCAGCCAUCAUUUAAAGAAAGCGUAAUAGCUCACUGGUCGAGUCGGCCUGCGCGGAAGAUGUAACGGGGCUAAACCAUGCACCGAAGCUGCGGCAGCGACACUGUGUGUUGUUGGGUAGGGGAGCGUUCUGUAAGCCUGCGAAGGUGGCCUGUGAGGG
rnacentral:rRNA from 1 species